GGAACAUAUGAGAUGUUCCAAGAGAUGAAAUUGGGAUUUCAUGCUCGUGCCCUUGUUGAGAGGUAUGAGACCUGAUACGUCUCCAACGUAUAUACUUUUCCAAACUCUUUUGCCCUUGUUUUGGACUAUAAUUUGCAUGAUUUGAAUGGAACUAACAUGGAUUGACGCUGUUUUCAGCAGAUUUGCCUUGGUGUUAUUUUUGUACAGAAAUCAAAGUUCUCCGAACGUCCUGAAAAUUUACGGGGAGCAGUUUUAGAAAAUAUCAAAAAUACCUGUGCUAGAAUCCACCUGAGGGGGUGCGCCAGUGGGCCACAAGCCCCUGCUCCGCCACCACCCCUGGUGGCGGUGGGCAGGCUUGUGGGGCCCAC
rnacentral:lncRNA from 1 species